CCUACCGCGAUCAUUUGAAGACAAAAAUAAGCCCUCAUUGACAUUCAUGAGCAUGAAGAUAUUCAUAAUCCGGCCUUUUCAUUGGCUAAGAGCGUCAUUAAUACGCGAUUUCCCCGAUUCUUUGUCAUCGAUACUAGUGGUAUCGUGUUACAGAAUUAAUUAUUCAUUUGACCUCAUUACGUCAUCUAAUUUAUUCAUUCUGAAACUUUUCUUUCCACACACAAAAUGGACCUACGAACACUCCGGUGAGUUGAGUUUGAAGAACAAGAAAAACAGUAGAGGUCUACCUAUAUGGUUCAAGAUGAUGAUCAUAAGUGCAUGCAUCAUUUUGCCGAUUCUCAUCCAGGAUGAUGCAGUUUUACAAUUUCCAUGGAGGUGAUUGAUGAUGAUAAAUAAUUGGUGAAGUAGGCCUAAUAGAACAGCGACUAGACCACAAAGAGAAAUACAACCUACAGCAGUUAUAUGAGACUGGUGUAACAGAUGUUUUCAUUCAAGAAAUCCAACAAAUCAAG